UAUAUAUUGACUUCCGCUGCACUGCGAUGCUAGCGCUGCUUUGUGCACAAUGUAUGCAUUUUCAGGUUAAGAAGAGGACAGUGUCCAGUAUUAUUUUUUUCACAUGAAGACUAGCAUUGAAUAAGAAAAGAUUGAUUGAGACAUAGGUCUGGCACAUUUUAUCACACGCUUAUGCAUGUAACGUGACAGCUACAUCAGAAAUUGAGGGAAACUGCCAUGAGUGAAGAAGUGAAAUGUGGAAGAUGUGGAUGUAAAAAAUCAUCCGGGCACACACACAAAGAGCAUCAACUUCAAAGAAAUCUGCACACAAAGAGGCAUCAGGAUACAGGAUACAUGCUGUAUACACAGAGGCACUUACGGACUUAAAUGUGCAUGUCAUGUGAAGAAGUUUAAGAGGGGACAGACCAUGUGCACAUUUAAGAAUACAGAACCAUGCAAACUUAACUAUAUUUUGACUGGACAUCCUUUCUUUAGUUUGUACUGAAAUAAAGCUAGUGUAUGUGCCAGCACAUGAUCACUGAUAUGUCUUGAGGUAAACUUUAUUCACCAUAGGGGGCGACGCUGUACAUGACGGGUCGACACAGUAUAGUACUAUGUACUACGUAAAGUCACUCUCACAAUCUGCUCCUGGGUUCAUAUUCACGUCGUUUAAUAACCUUCUUUAAUCUGUCAUUGAUGGCAAUUAAGUCGAUCCAAUUUUUCAUGUGGUCUCUAGGAUUCUCCCAAGCAUAUAACCUUUUUUUUCCAUUUAGUCCUACGUUCAUGGUCACCACUGAGAAUAAUGUAUAUCAAUAUUGUUUCAUUUGCUGGAAGGUAAUUGUCAAGGGGAAAAUGUUCAAAACUACCAUGUCAUAAUCAGUUUCUGUAUCUUUUGAAUUCGUUAUUGCUCUUGCUUGUAAAACAUCUUCAAUAAUUUACUUUUCAAAAUGCACCUUUAUUCCACUUCCUUUGUCAGUA